rnacentral:tRNA from 1 species
GUCGGCAUAGCUUAGUGGUAGAGCAACUGAUUUGUAAUCAGUAGGUCAAAGGUUCAAGUCCUUUUGCCGGCA